rnacentral:rRNA from 1 species
AUUGAACGCUGGCGGCAUGCCUUACACAUGCAAGUCGAACGGCAGCACGGGCUUCGGCCUGGUGGCGAGUGGCGAACGGGUGAGUAAUACAUCGGAACGUGCCCUGUAGUGGGGGAUAACUAGUCGAAAGAUUAGCUAAUACCGCAUACGACCUGAGGGUGAAAGCGGGGGACCGUAAGGCCUCGCGCUACAGGAGCGGCCGAUGUCUGAUUAGCUAGUUGGUGGGGUAAGAGCCUACCAAGGCGACGAUCAGUAGCUGGUCUGAGAGGACGAUCAGCCACACUGGGGCUGAGACACGGCCCAGACUCCUACGGGAGGCAGCAGUGGGGAAUUUUGGACAAUGGGGGCAACCCUGAUCCAGCAAUGCCGCGUGUGUGAAGAAGGCCUUCGGGUUGUAAAGCACUUUUGUCCGGAAAGAAAUGGCUCUGGUUAAUACCUGGGGUCGAUGACGGUACCGGAAGAAUAAGCACCGGCUAACUACGUGCCAGCAGCCGCCGUAA